UACGUAGGGGGCAAGCGUUGUCCGGAAUCAUUGGGCGUAAAGAGCGUGUAGGCGGUCCUGUAAGUCCGCUGUGAAAGUCAAGGGCUCAACCCUUGAAUGCCGGUGGAUACUGCAGGACUAGAGUCCGGAAGAGGCGAGUGGAAUUCCUGGUGUAGCGGUGAAAUGCGUAGAUAUCGGGAGGAACACCAGUGGCGAAGGCGACUACCUGGCCUGUUCUUGACGCUGAGGCGCGAAAGCUAGGGGAGCAAACGGG
rnacentral:rRNA from 1 species